GAUGAACGCUGGCGGCGUGCCUAAUACAUGCAAGUCGAGCGAACGGACGAGGAGCUUGCUUUUCUGAUGUUAGCGGCGGACGGGUGAGUAACACGUGGAUAACCUACCUAUAAGACUGGGAUAACUUCGGGAAACCGGAGCUAAUACCGGAUAAUAUUUUGAACCGCAUGGUUCAAAAGUGAAAGACGGUCUUGCUGUCACUUAUAGAUGGAUCCGCUCUGCAUUAGCUAGUUGGUAAGGUAACGGCUUACCAAGGCAACGAUGCAUAGCCGACCUGAGAGGGUGAUCGGCCACACUGGAACUGAGCACCGGUCCCGACUCCUACGGGGGGCAGCAGGAGGGAAUCUUCCGCAAUGGGCGAAAGCCUGACGGAGCACCGCCGCGUGAGUGAUGAAGGUCUUCGGAUCGUAAAACUCUGUUAUUCGGGAAGAACAUAUGUGUAAGUAACUGUGCACAUCUUGACGGUACCUAAUCAGAGAGCCACGGCUAACUACGUG
rnacentral:rRNA from 1 species